UUAUACUCGCAGGAAAACCGGUCGAUUUCGCUCUUUUGUUUUUGACGUUUCGCACGUGAAAAGCAAAAAUCUUUGUUCACUCAAUAAUAAUUGAAUUUCAAUAUAAUUAUUGAGUGUUUAAGCAGCUACAGCAAUACAUUAUCUUUGUUUCAGAUAUCGUUUCAAAUAACAACUCCUGGUGCACGAGCUGUCCUUGCCUACAUCCACCAGCAGAGGCUGAUAGGAAGCGGGUCCAGGAAGCUGUACCUGCAGCAUCAUCGCAGAUACUUCAUUCAUCUUUCUUUUCUUUCCCUGUUCUUAUUAAUUAUUUACUUUCCUUUUUCAACUAUUAUAACAAUAGAUGUGAACUCUCUUCUCUUAUUUCUGAAAUAAUUUCUCUUUGUCGAGGUACCAUUAUCUUCUUGGGGAUUGCUGAACGAAGCUGCUAUUCUUCUGGAACAUCUAGCUGUCCAUGUAACUUCAAAAAAACAAGUUCAAAGUUACACCAACAAAAAAGGUUCAAAACUUAGAAGUUCAACGAAACACCAAGGCCAUCAAGGUACUCUGCACUUCUGGACUGGGAAACUGCAGCUUACAGGACAUUCGCAGUCAAUCUCUUUGUUAGCAGUUCCUUGAUAAAGAUGACUGUGGCUGUGCAUCUGGUAUGUUCCCGCCAUGUCUCUCUUGAUGCGCAACACAGAAGUAAAGUGUCUAGUAAAAGCUAGUGCAAGUCUUGUGCGGGGAAGGAAAAUUAUUAGGGAUUAGCAUGUGAGGGAGUAGGCUAGUUAAUCUAAGAUCUCUUCGAGCCUGAACAUCCACACGCGUUUAUAGCCAGAAAAAGCCUAUGAUUCUUACAAUGAAGGAUAAAGUGAUCUUUUAAGUUUUAUUUAAGUUUGCCUAUUCUUUCUAUGCACUGACUAUUAUACAAUGUGAUAUAUAUUUUUAUAGUAAAAAAUCGAAUAAGAAUAAAAAAUACAAUAGUCUCUGCAGCCAUAAGAGAUUCACUUCAUUAAUUAUUGUAAGAAAUUACAGACUUAUUCUGGCUAAGCGCAUGCAGGUGUUAAGAUUGUAAUAUAUAUGUAUUAUAUAUGGCGUGAUAUUAUUAAUUAACUGAUUUUAUUGCUCUUGCGCUUGUUUAUUAUAAUUGUAUUUUUUAUCAUUAUUUAAAUUUGUUUUACUUGAUAUUAAUAAAAAAUAAUUUCAUUAAAAU